AUUGAACGCUGGCGGCAGGCCUAACACAUGCAAGUCGAGCGGAUGAGUGGAGCUUGCUCCAUGAUUCAGCGGCGGACGGGUGAGUAAUGCCUAGGAAUCUGCCUGGUAGUGGGGGACAACGUGUCGAAAGGAACGCUAAUACCGCAUACGUCCUACGGGAGAAAGUGGGGGAUCUUCGGACCUUACGCUAUCAGAUGAGCCUAGGUCGGAGUAGCUAGUUGGUGGUGUAAAGGAUCACCAAGGCGACGAUCCGUAACUGGUCUAAGGGGAUGAUCAGUCAAACUGGAACUGAGACACGGUCCAGACUCCUACGGGAGGCAGCAGUGGGGAAUAUUGGACAAUGGGCGAAAGCCUGAUCCAGCCAUGCCGCGUGUGUGAAGAAGGUCUUCGGAUUGUAAAGCACUUUAAGUUGGGAGGAAGGGCAGUAAGUUAAUACCUUGCUGUUUUGACGUUACCAACAGAAUAAGCACCGGCUAACUUCGUGCCAGCCGCCGCCGUAAUAC
rnacentral:rRNA from 1 species